GCCCUCCGUUGCAGCAGCAGCAGCUACGUGUGUGUUCGUGCUACAAUGGGGGAAAGGACCGAUCACAUUUUUGGAAGCCCAAAAGGAUGCAGCACUGAGAGUGCAAUCCUGCAGAAGUUUUCACAGAAUUAUGGAAUAUCUGAGUUUUCGCCAGAUUUGCCUUGGGCUGCUGCAAUUCCCCCACUUCAGGCCAGCAGUGCAUAGUAUGAAAAGUCAGCUCAGGGACUGGAUCCAGAGGAAAACUAACCUUCACCUACAAAGAUUAUGAUCCCCUAUCAGCUCACAAGGGGGCUGCCAAACUGCCAGCGUAAGGGGACAAACGGGUAGCAACGCGUGGCGAGGGACAGCUGGAAGGGCCUGGAGCUCCUGCGUGGCCCUGGGUCAGCUUUAAGCCGGCCACGAACCCGCACCCUCACCUCCAGCCGAAACCUCCGGGGUCACCGGGGGUCCCAACGCCACCCCUCCGAGGCAGGACCCGCCCCCGUCUUCCCUGCUGCUAGAGACCGGACCGGCCCCACGCCGGACCCAAGGGGCCGACCUGCACGUGACGGUGUUGGAGAGGAGUGGGGUGGCUGCCGGUGCUGCGUGCGAAGGGUGAGCUCAUCGCCACCACCCUGCACGUGCCCGUGUGCAGCAGCGACAGCCACGCUUCGAAGGCAGCCCCCAGAGCCCCGCUGACUUCAGCACGUCGCCUCAGCUGGUGAGCGUAUAAAGGUCAGCCCCAGCUAAUCUUCGGCAAGGUGGAGACCAAAUUGCAUGCAUAACCCUGCUUGUCCACAAAGCCCCAUGAAGCUUAACAGACACAAAUUAUUUUCAGAUGUUCCUACCACAUAAACAAGGAAAAGAAGAGUCCAGUAACAUAAGAGAGAAGGGAUGAACUUGCAGGCCCUUCAGCACCUCCCAGAAGGAAUGCACUGGAGCCAGCUUGAUUCUGACCCACCCCUGCUCUUUCUUAGCCUCCUUCCAACAGUAUGUGCAUUUUGCAAGAAAAAUAAAGUUCUUACAC